UACGUAGGGUGCGAGCGUUGUCCGGAAUUAUUGGGCGUAAAGAGCUUGUAGGCGGUUUGUCGCGUCUGCCGUGAAAAUCCGGGGCUCAACCCCGGACUUGCGGUGGGUACGGGCAGACUAGAGUGUGGUAGGGGAGACUGGAAUUCCUGGUGUAGCGGUGAAAUGCGCAGAUAUCAGGAGGAACACCGAUGGCGAAGGCAGGUCUCUGGGCCGUUACUGACGCUGAGGAGCGAAAGCGUGGGGAGCGAACAGG
rnacentral:rRNA from 1 species